rnacentral:rRNA from 1 species
AUACAGUUUAUGAAUUCUUGUAGUAGUUAAUAAAGGUCUGUUAUAAAAAAGAGGCGAGAGUCAUAGCAAAAGCUUAAAGUUACUAAGUAUUAUUAAAAGAAAGGUGAGAAAGAGAAAAAGUACUGUGAAGGAAAAGUAGUUAUUAAGUGAAAAGCAAUGAUGAAGUCAUGUACCUUUUGCAUCAUGGCUUAGCGAGAUAGAGAGUUAAAGAGUUUUUCUAGAAACUUCAUGUGCAUCCUUAUUGUCUUAUAUUGGUAAGAAAUUAGCCUGCUUGUGUGGUAUUACGAGGGGUAAAUGAUAGGGAAGAGUUGAGAUUUUAUUCGCGUGAAGAGAUAGCUAGUUAUUCUAGAAAUGUAUUUUAGUACAGGGCGUUAAUAGGGAAAAGAACUGAUGGAUAAAAGUUAAAGACUAGUUUAACGCACAAAGGCACUGGAGGAUAAGUUCUGGUGGUUAGAGUAAUGGAGCCGGUAGAAUUGAUGAAGAAAGAAAAGAGGCUUAAGAUUGGCCAGGUUUAACACUGUUUGUAAUAGGAGACUUAGGGGAGUCAAGAAAAUUGAUUUCGGGGACAAGAAUGGAAUAAUGCUUAAGAAUGAGAAUUAGGUAAAAAGAAUGCUAGGAUGAGUAUUAAAGAGUGAUUAAAGGCGGUAAAGUGGCUAGUAAUUUUAGAGGUAAAGAAAUAAUUAUUAGAAAAAUAAUGGUGCUUUGGAGUAAGUUUUAGAAAGGAAUUCGGCAAACAAAGUUCUCGCCUGUAUAGCAAAAACAUGGCUCUUUGGGAGACUAUAAAGAGUCUGACCUGCCCAGUGAUUAAGAAAUAUCAAUUAUUAAAUGGCCGCGGUACCCUGACCGUGCGAAGGUAGCGAAAUCAUUUGCCUUUUAAAUGGAGGCCGGUAUGAAUGGUUAGACGGAGAAUUAGCUGUCUCUACAAAAAAUGAAGAAUUUGAUUUUAAGGUUCAAAAGCCUGAAUAAAAUUAGAAGACGAGAAGACCCUAGCGUGCUUUAUUUUUAAGUUAAGAGCUUAUUAUUCGAGUAGUUAACUUUAAAUUUUUGUUGGGGCGACAGAGGAAGAGGAGCAUCCUUUUUUAGCUAAGAAGAGUGAUUGGAGACCCAACAAAAGGAGGAUUGUUGAGCAAAAAGAGAGUAACCGUAGGGAUAACAGCGUAAUUCUUUUGGAGAGUUCUUAUCGAAAAAAGAGUUUGCGACCUCGAUGUUGGACUAAGGUAUCCUGAGGGCGCAGUUGCUUUUAAGGGUUGGUCUGUUCGACCAUUAAAAUCUUACAUGAUCUGAGUUCAGACCGGCGUAAGCCAGGUCAGUUUCUAUCUUUAAUUCGAAAGCUAUUCUUAGUACGAAAGGAUUGGUAUAGCUUAAUAAUUAGA